AUACGUAGGGGGCGAGCGUUGUUCGGAAUUACUGGGCGUAAAGGGCGCGCAGGCGGAUAUUUAAGUCAGCUGUAAAAGGCAUGAGCUCCACUCAUGUAUGCGGUUGAAACUGGGUAUCUAGAGUGGUGGAGAGGGAGGCGGAAUUUCCGGUGUAGCGGUGAAAUGCGUAGAUAUCGGGAAGAACACCAGUGGCGAAGGCGGCUUACUGGCCAGCAACUGACGCUGAGGCGCGAAAGCGAGGGGAGCGAACGGGAUUAGAUACCCCGGUAGUCCUGGCCGUAAACGAUGUAUGCUGGGUGUGGGAGUAGCGAUACCUCAGUGCCGAAGUUAACGCGUUAAGUAUACCGCCUGGGGAGUACGGUCGCAAGAUUGAAACUCAAAGGAAUUGACGGGG
rnacentral:rRNA from 1 species